CCCUUAGAUGUUCUGGGCCGCACGCGCGCUACACUGACGAAUUCAACGAGCUUAUAACCUUGGCCGAAAGGUCUAGGUAAUCUCCAAAAUUCGUCGUGAUGGGGAUAGAUUAUUGCAAUUAUUAAUCUUCAACGAGGAAUGCCUAGUAAGCGCAAGUCAUCAGCUUGCGUUGAUUACGUCCCUGCCCUUUGUACACACCGCCCGUCGCACCUACCGAUUGAAUGGUCCGGUGAAAUCUCCGGACUGGCGUGAGUCGGAGCAAUCUGACAAACACCGGAAAGUUGAUUAAACCUUACCAUUUAGAGGAAGGUGAAGUCGUAACA
rnacentral:rRNA from 1 species